UAUCUCUGUAGAGUCUGCAUAUCAAUAAGCGGAGGAAAAGAAACUAACUAAGGAUUCCCUCAGUAACGGCGAGUGAAGCGGGAAGAGCUCAAAUUUGAAAUCUUCAAGGUUUUACCUUGACGAAUUGUAGUUUAAAGAAGUGUAUUCUGUUGAAGUUUUCGGUAAAAGUUCUUUGGAAUAGGACAUCAUAGAGGGUGAGAAUCCCGUAUUUGACCAGUUACUUUCCAGCUGUUGUGAUACACUUUCAAAGAGUCGGAUUGUUUGGGAAUGCAGUCCAAAAUGGGUGGUAAAUUUCAUCUAAAGCUAAAUAUUGGCGAGAGACCGAUAGCGAACAAGUACCGUGAGGAAAAGAUGAAAAGAACUUUGAAAAGAGAGUUAAACAGUACGUGAAAUUGUCAAAAGGGAAGCGUUUGACACCAGUGUUGUUUUCUCGAAAAUCAAUUAAAAAAGGCAGGAUUUUGUGUUGUAUUGACUUUAUCAGCUUUCUGCACUCUUUUCUUGUCUUUUUUUAAUGCACUUUUCGUUUAACAAGUCAACAUCAAUUUCUUUUGUUGUAAAAGGGUCAUUGGAAGGUGGCUUUCUUUUCGGAGAAAGUGUUUAUAGCCUUUGGCCUCUGCAAUCGGAGAGAUUGAGGUCUGCAGCGUAGAUCCUUCGGGGUUAGAUACCUUUGUGCUAAGUUAUAGCCUUUCAUAGACAACUUGUCGACUAUGAUCAGUCAUGUAGCUUACUCGCUUAUGCUAUUUUACCUACGCUUAGGAUGUUGAUAGUCACAGCGUGUAC
rnacentral:rRNA from 1 species